ACACACAUAUGUAUGUAUACAUAUAUGUGUGUGCGUAUAGAUAGAUAUAUGUUUGCUUAUAUAAUGUCAGCUGUGCAUGUUUGUAUAGAUAUGAAUGCAUAAUACUGAAAAGCAGGCAACAGCUCGGCUGUUGUUCUAUCCCUUGUGUAUGAGGCUGUUUACAAGAUGACAAAAAGGGGAAAAAUAUGACAACAGCAAUGAUGAUGAUGAUGAUGAUGGUUUGUGAGUGUUGAUGAUAUUUGAGACAG